GGAUUGUGGCUCAGCGGUAGAGCGCUCGCCUAGCAUGGGCGAGACCCGGGUCCGAUCCUCAGCACCA
rnacentral:tRNA from 1 species